CUGUGCCCAUGAGGGUGGGGCUCCCACCGCGCCCUCUCAGAAGUGGGUGGGGUUUCUGCCUAUUCUCAUGGGACAUGCAGCCCCAGCCACACUUCUCCCACUGCAGCUAGCAUCUUUGCAGGAGCCACUCCAGACAGGCUGCCGCUGCCAUCAAAGGGGCCUGCCCUGAGUGAGGAGGAGAGAGGGUCAGAGCCCCAAGCUCCUCCCAGCACCAGGGGAGGGAAGGCAGCAGGUCUGUCCUCCAGAGGCUUCACUUUACCUUCAUGAGCACCUGGAGAGAGGCUGGAGAUAUUCUGAUUGCCAUCCCGAGUAAGUUCCAGUGAGGAUGAGUCACCUGCCUGAAGUUCACAGGCCACUGAGAUGAGGGACAGCCACAGAAGCUCUCAGCGUGGCAUCAGAGCCAAUACCCCUCUGCUCAGCAGUUGUCCAAACUGAACCCACCCCUCCAGGAAGCUGAUCUCAGCUCAGAGUUCCAAGCUGAUGUAUGGAAAACCCAGGGCCACGGUCUCCAGCCAGCCAGCAACAAAAGUCAGAGACAAAAUCUGGCUCUGUCACCAAGGAUGGAGUGCGGUGGCAAAAUCGUGGUUCACUGCAGCCUCAAAUUCCAGGGCUCAAGCAAUCCUCCAGCCUCAGCCUCCCAAAUAGCUGGUACUACAGAUGCAUGCCACUAUGCUAACUUUUUUUUUUUUUUUUAUAAAGAUGGGGGUCUCACUAUGUUGCUCAGGCUGAUCUUGAACACCUGGGUUUGAGGUUCUCCUAACUCGGCCUCCCAAAGUGCUGGGAUUACAGGCGUGAGCCACCGCGCCCAGUCCUCAAUUUCCUUAAGUGCAAAAUGACUUCGCUCCUAGGACUCCUGAAAAAUGCACACAGGGUGGGGAUUUGACUUGUGGUCAUUGCUGUAUUCUGCAGGCCUGGAAUGGUGUCUGACACAUAGUAGGAACUCAAUAAAUAUUUGUUAGGUAAACUUAAGUUGCUCACAGCUAUAUCUCCAGGACCUAGAACAGUGCAUGGCACGCAGUUAGGCGCUAAAACAGAUGUGCUGAAUUGGCUUCAUUGUUCACAGCUGUACCAAGCACCAAGCCAGGCACAUGACAUAGUACUAAC
rnacentral:lncRNA from 10 species